rnacentral:sRNA from 1 species
CACGGCUCUUAUCACCCCAACUUCCGUGGUUUUGAUUACUACUUUGGAAUCCCAUAUAGCCAUGAUAUGGGCUGUACUGAUACUCCAGGCUACAACCACCCUCCUUGUCCAGCGUGUCCACAGGGUGAUGGACCAUCAAGGAACCUUCAAAGAGACUGUUACACUGACGUGGCCCUCCCUCUUUAUGAAAACCUCAACAUUGUGGAGCAGCCGGUGAACUUGAGCAGCCUUGCCCAGAAGUAUGCUGAGAAAGCAACCCAGUUCAUCCAGCGUGCAAGGAGAUUCCACUCCUCAAGGGCAAUGGACUCCAAGAAACUUGGUGUUUUCUACAGCCUUAACCUAAGUGGGCAAGAAAGCACGUGCUGCACGGCUGUCCACUUGGGCAGAAUUAAAAAGGGACUCUACCUGUGGCUAAGUGAUCACAGCAGCCCCUUGAAUAUGCAGGAAUCCCCCACCCCUCGCUCAGCCACAUUGGACGUUUUUAGAAGCUCAGCAGGGAGGGUAGAGGCAGCAAUGCAGGAGAUCCAGGCAUCCUGUUUUCUUGGUAAUAAAACCUAUUUAAGGAUUGAAUCUCAAA